rnacentral:sRNA from 1 species
CUGCGAAGGGAAAGUUUGAUGAAUCUCGCUAGUAAGAUGCUACCAUCUUUUACAUUAUGCUCUGAUGUGUAUGUUAUAG